AUUGAACGCUGGCGGCAGGCCUAACACAUGCAAGUCGAACGAGUGGCGGACGGGUGAGUAAUGUCUGGGAAACUGCCCGAUGGAGGGGGAUAACUACUGGAAACGGUAGCUAAUCACGCAUACCAUCGGAUGUGCCCAGAUGGGAUUAGCUUGUAGGUGAGGUAACGGCUCACCAAGGCGACGAUCCCUCGCUGGUCUGAGAGGAGGACCAGCCACACGGGAACUGUGACACGGGCCAGACUCCUAAGGGAGGCUGGAGUGGUGAAUAUUGCACAAGUGGCGCAUGCCUGAUGCAGCCAUGGCGCGUGUAGGAAGAAGGCCUUCGGGUUGUAAAGUACUUUCAGCGGGGAGGCGUUACCCGCAGAAGAAGCACCGGCUAACUCCGUGCCAGCAGCCGCGGUAAUAC
rnacentral:rRNA from 1 species